rnacentral:lncRNA from 1 species
UAGUCCCAGCGGCGGAACUCGGGAGGGGGAUGCCCAACCAGCCAGUCAGCAGUGACGUCCCGCCUUUCCUCCGUUUCCAUUGGUCCAGCCACGCGGAGGCCGCGCCCAUGGGACGCCGAGCUUCCGGCUACCGGGCUUGGCGCCCGGGCGCUUUCGGAUUGGGAGGGCUUCCUCCAUGGAACGCGAGCCUCGAGACGUCUGACGUUAGGCACCGUUCGCAGCGCCUCGGGCUCGCACGGCAGGAUCGAAGAUUGGCUGGCGGCUGCUGUGGUCUCGGGCACCGCCCAGUCGCGGGACGCUGCCUCUGCGGAACUGGGGGUGGGGCGUGUUGACCCCCUUAAAGGCGCCAGAGCCCGCGGUCACGGCUCAGGUUCCCGGUGCUUCUAGGCUGUUUGUCCUGUUGCUUCAGGCCUAAAUUUGGAUAGUGUGUUACUGUGCUGAAUAAUGUGGGCAGUUGUAACACAACAGCAAGUAUUUGUGUAUCUAAACAUAGAAAAGGUGAUGUGUUGUGCUCCGAUGUUACAAUGGCUACAACAUCAUUAGCAAUAGGAAUAUGUCAGUUCUGUUAUAAUUUUAUGGAACCACUGUAGUAUAUGCAGUCUGUAGUGUACCGAAACACCAUCAUGUGACACAUGUAUGUAUACAGUAGGAUAUACACAGGUGAUCUGCAAAUAUUAUGCCAUUUUAUAUCUGAAACUUCAGCAUCCUCAAAUUUUGGUAGCUGUGGGAGGUCCUGGAACCAACUCCCAUAUAUACCAAAGAAUGACUGUAUGUAAAACUAGCCUAUAGAAGUUGGAAAUCUUUCUAAAAUUGAGGCUAACUCUGAAGUUGACUUCCUUUUCACAUUAUUUUCCCUCUUGAUUUGUUUUAAUCAUUAACCUUAUUUCAGAUUUUUUGUAUUAGAUAUCAAUAUCUCCAUCAUCACUGACUCCUGACACAUGCAUUCACACACACACACACACACACACACACACACACACACACACACACACACACACACACACACCCAGACCCUAUGUGGGUCUAGAACUUUGUAUUAAGUAGCUGUUUAAACACUUUGUGUACAUUCUGCAGUAUGCUUGAAGUCUGUUGAAAGUAUUUCAGUGGUCCACGUGUGGUGGCUCACUCCUGUAAUCUCAACACUUUGGGAGGCCAAAGCAGGCAGAUCUCCUGAGGUUAGGAGUUCGAGAUCAGCAUGGCCAGCAUGGCAAAACCUCGUCUCUACUAAAAAUACAAAAAUUAGCCUGGCGUGGUGAUGCACGCCUGUAGUCCCAGCUACUUGGGAGGUCAAGGCAGGAGCAUCACUUGAACCCAGGAGGUGGGGGUUGUAGUGAGCUGAGAUUGCACCAUUGCAUUCCAGCCUGGGCAACAAAACGAGACUCCCUCUCAGAAACAAAAAAGUAUUCCAGUAAAAUCUAUGUAUUUGAAAUAGAGUCACAUAGAAAGUAGAGCACAUGGGAUCUUCAAAAUAUAUUGGGUAGAAAAAUCAAAAAACAAAAAUUAUAAUUCAUUCAGAAAUUAAGGAGAAGAAAAAAGGGAAUAAAAAACUUCAAGGUCAGACUAUGUAAAGGUGCCCUGAAGGACACAAAGAUAAGAAAGCUUAGACGCUGCUGGAUAUAGAUAUGUAAAAGUGUGAGUCAGAAUACUGAAAGUACCCUAAUAAGUGCUUUACGUUUUAAUCACAUGGGAGGGAUAAAUGGGGGUUCAGAAAAUUAAUGUUUGAUGCACUAAGGUAGGGAUGGGCCACCUAUGGCCUACAGGCCAAAUCUGGCCUGCUGCCUGUUGUUACGUCCUGUGAGCUGAGUGUUUUUCUCAUAUUUAAACGGAUGGAGAAGAAUCAAAAUAUUUUGUGACACAUGAAAAUUAAAUGUAAUUCAGUGUCCAUAAAUAUUUCAGUGUCCAUAAAUAUUGGCACGCACCCACACUCAGUUUACAUACUGCCCAGUUCACUAUUGCCUGUGACUAUUUUAGUGUUACAGAGGCAGAGUUCAUACUCUCUGGCCCUUCACAGAAAAAACUUGCCAAGCACUGCCUUAAAGCAUCUAUUGAAUAUAAUGAAUUAAGUCUUCUCCUGUUUAUCUAGAAUGAUAUCAGCUAAGUACUGUCCUGGGGGAAAUUGACAAAACUCAUACAAAUCAUUUUUCUGAUCAGGAGCUUGGGUUGAGAAAAACUGGAUUAAGUCUUACUGUGACAUUGGUAGAAAGGUUAUUGAAUGUCUGGCACAUGAGUUGUGCCUUGAAAAAAUGGAUUUCAACCAAGAUUGGCCUGUGGCAUUCUUGAGCAACUAUGCGGAGACAGGCAGUGGGAAAAACAAUUCAGGAUGGCAAUGGGAGCACGUUCUAGAGAUUACAGAAGCUGGUGUAGAAAAGCAGGAUGAAAAGUUAGGUUGGGGCCAAAAACCAGAGAAGAAAAGUACACUGGAAAAAGGAUUGAGUAUCAAGUGCUGCAGAGGAUCUCAGAGGUCAAGAAUUUAGAGUGGAACGUUGAGCUUGGCCUUCAGGAGCAUGACUGUGAUAAAAGGCCAGCUGUGAAACCUGUAGGAGAAAUGAUGACCCAGAUAGUGCUGAGCAGCCGGCUGGCAGCGUUCUUGGGGUCCCUGUGGGGAUGCAGAGUGGUACAACUGCAGAUGGGGAAGCAGCAUCAUUAUUAACCUGUGUUUAUAUGACAUUCAGAAAAAUAUGUGAUGGCCUUUCUUUCUCUUUUCCUUUAAUAUUAGUGUUCUAGAACAGAUCAGACAUUUUGUAAUGAUGCCUGAAAUAAACACUAACCACCUCGACAAGCAACAGGUUCAACUCCUGGCAGAGAUGUGUAUCCUUAUUGAUGAAAAUGACAAUAAAAUUGGAGCUGAGACCAAGAAGAAUUGUCACCUGAACGAGAACAUUGAGAAAGGUGCUGCUUUGAAACAGUCUUUCUUGUAAAGCGAUUUGUGUAGGCAUUUCCGAUUUGCUGGGAAGAGCACUCUGUUGAAGGAAGUGCAGUCUUCAAUAAUACCGUAUUUUCUCGUUGGUUCUAGUUCGUUAAAUAGUGUCGUCAUUAGCAUCUGCUUUGCUGUCUUCCUGUUACAGCGAUUUCUCUUCACUUCAUGCCUUUUACUCAGCUUCUUCAGAGUUAUUCUGGAUUCAUAGAAGAGGGACUAGCCCUGACAUACAGCAGCAGCCUAGCCUCUAAUAUUUCUAGAGAGUGGAGAGAGGCGGGCACCAUGCAGGGAAGCAUGUGCCUUCACCACUUUCCGAGAACUGAAUGUCCUUGAUAGGGAACUUGACUGCAGGAAAGGGGCCACCAGCAUCACCAUUUCCUUCACUCGACGGCCAACUUCCUUGCCCAGUGCAGAGCUCUUCCUCACCAUAGCCAUGCAGAGACUAUGCAUGUGGAUAAACCAUGGGAAAAAGCAAAAGCAGCAGCAAGUUACUAAUGUUAUUCUGAACUGCAGGGAGAGAAUUUGGCAAAUAACUGGUAUGUAAGGCUAAAAUAAUUGUUAUUUCUUUUGCUUUCAGGAUUAUUGCAUCGAGCUUUUAGUGUCUUCUUAUUCAACACCGAAAAUAAGCUUCUGCUACAGCAAAGAUCAGAUGCUAAGAUUACCUUUCCAGGUUAGUACACUUUUAAUGUACAAUAUUGUGUUUGCACAUUAAUUUGACUUUUUAUCAUUCUGAAUUCUUGGAGCCAAGGUCACAAAGGGAAAUCCUGUGAAUGGCAUAAUUUUAUAUUCUGCAUAAAGUGAGUUUACACAAUGAGUGCAACCUAAUACAACAGCAAGAAAAAAUAAGAACUAGUAAGCAAUUGGGCAAUAUGUAUAAUUUACAUAUUUAAUCUGUAUUAUCUACACUUUGAUCUUUUUUGGUUGAAGAAGCAUUAAUAAGGAACCUACCUACAAAUGUAGUCUGUUUCACAACGUAAUUACUGAUAGCCCAUUAUAACCAAUUUUAAAAUCCUUAAAAUAAUUACUGAUAGCCCAUUAUAACCAAUUUUAAAAUCCUUAAAAUAAUUACUGAUAGCCCAUUAUAACUGAUUUUAAAAUCCUUAAAAAUCAUUUCAUUUUUC